CUUUGUCUUAAUUUAAUGGGUUCUGAUGAAUAGCACCCAUCAGACGUAAGGGGGAAAGUUCGGUGUAAAUCCGGCGCUGUCCCGCAGCUGUAAUCUCUUAUUGAGUAAGUCAGAAUGCCCGCCUAUUAGUUAUUUUUGUG
rnacentral:ncRNA from 2 species